rnacentral:rRNA from 1 species
UACGGGGGGUGCGAGCGUUGUCCGGAAUCACUGGGCGUAAAGGGCGCGUAGGUGGUUUGAUAAGGGUGUGGUGAAAGUCCGGGGCUCAACCCCGGAUCUGCCGUGCCGACUGUCAAACUCGAGGACUGUAGAGGCAGACGGAAUUCCGGGUGUAGCGGUGGAAUGCGUAGAGAUCCGGAGGAAGACCGGUGGCGAAGGCGGCCUGCUGGGCAGUUUCUGACACUGAGGCGCGACAGCGGUGGGGAGCAAACAGG